ACUUCUUUGUGAAUUCUUUUAUUGUGUGCCUCAUUCCUUGAAUGACUGACUGCAUCUAUGGUGAUUGCAAUAUGUUCUUAUCUCAACCAUUUAGAAAGAUCUCCGAAGCUGGAGGAGCCAUGAAACUCUCAGGAUGAGAUGCACAAGUAGCUGAGGAUGAUUUAGUCUGCUCUCACGCUGGAGGUUUGUCUCCAGCUUUUCACCACCGAAAGUCUCCUCCUCUUUCAAAGUCAAUAUAUGGCAGUGGUUUUAUUCAAAAACUAAGCUUGAGGAGCGAAAGGACUGGUAGACUGAAGAACCAUACAAACUUUGCUGUCAUAACUGAGGUGUUGAAGCAACAGCCAAAUGCAGGAGCCACAGCAGUUCUUCCCCUUCUGGCAGCAACUAUGAUUUAUUUCAGCUUGAACUGACCAGGGAGCCAAGACUGUGCUAAAAGGGUGGUGUGCAGGAACAACAUCCCAUGUUUCAUGAAGGUUAUUAAGUUCACACACAUUAAGAUUAGUUGGGAGGGCUCAUAUAUGAUACAUCAAGAGAAGGAGAGAACUAGAAAUGGGAAAAUCCCUCAUGGCCACGCAGGAAGAGAAGCAGUGGCAGUGCCCAGGUAUGUGCCACAUCUUAGCUUUUCUAUAUUGGUCUGCAGGUGAUUUCUCCUCAGUUACACUUUUCCCAUGGUCAUGAUAUAGUUUUCAUCAGGUCGUACUCUAACUCCCUACUGCUUUCAGUCCAAUUUGUUAAGGUUAUUUUGAAUUCUAAACCUGUCUCCAAUCAAGCAGCAUCAGUCUGUCUCAGUUAUCUGUUGUCUGUGGAUUUAUUAGGUAUAUCCUAUAAUGCCAUUAUGUGGUUCUAUGAUUAGUAAAAUUUAUACUAAAAUUAUUAUU